rnacentral:rRNA from 1 species
AGGAUGAACGCUGGCGGCGUGCUUAACACAUGCAAGUCGAACGAUGAACCUCACUUGUGGGGGAUUAGUGGCGAACGGGUGAGUAACACGUGAGUAACCUGCCCUUAACUCUGGGAUAAGCCUAGGAAACUGGGUCUAAUACCGGAUAUGACCUCAUGACGCAUGUUGUGGGGUGGAAAGCCUUGUGCGGCUAGGGAUGGGCCCGCGGCCUAUCAGCUUGUUGGUGGGGUGAUGGCCUACCAAGGCGACGACGGGUA